UGUAUUCACUACUGUAAGUCGCUCUGGAUAAGAGCAUCUGCUAAAUGACUGAAA
rfam:Salmo salar isolate Sally breed double haploid chromosome ssa13, whole genome shotgun sequence.